UGCAAACACUAAUGCGCACUGAUUUUGACGUGCUAUUUGUUUGUUUGUUUGUUGUCGAAUAGCCUUUCCACAACGCCAACACCAUUACGAACGUGUUAAGACCGUGAGCGCAAGCGUACAUAACCGUAUUACCUUUGCUGCUGGUUGUUUGUUUCAUUGCUCUCUGGACUCAACAAAGCGUAACGCUUCAAAGCUUGACUUUCCAUCAAAGCUGCUGUUGCUGCUGAAGUUGUUGCUAUCAUAUCAUCGUCGUCGUCGUUGCGCCAACGUCCGUCAUCGCCAACGUUUCAGUUGGCUUCAUGAGGCCAACUUCGAAAUCACAGAGACUGACUUUGAGUUGAUGUUGUUCGAAAACGCACAUUUAGUUUUGCAUUAAUGAGAGCGUGAGUCGGUUGUCGUCGCUUAGAAAGAAAAAAAGGAGAAAAAAAAACCAAAAAUUUCAUUAGAAGAAAGUUGGAAAAA